UGUAGUUCUAUCAACAACAUCUAGCAUUAUAGAUCAAUUGCUUGAUCUGUGCUCUAGGUUCCUUGAAGUAGUCAAGAUAGCUUAGUUAUUUCCCAAGGAAACCUUCACUAUGCAUGACCUGUCUUCCAUCUCACAAAUUUGGUCUGUCAUCUCCUCUAGCCUCCAGGUUAAGUUUCACCUCUCCUCUACUUAUGAAUUUCAAUCCUUGUGAACUCUGAGAUCUUGUGAUUCUUCUAAGAAUCCAGUAUCACCUCCAAAUCUAGGCUACACUAUUAGGAAGAAUUCAGUCUCUACCAUGGACACAUUUAAAUCAUGUUCCUGCAGGCCCAACUCACCCAGUGAUGGACAAAACAGUUCACCAAAUUCACCUAAGUAUACUUAUCAUCAAAUCUCUAAUUUCAGUCUCUCCAUUCAUAGUCUGGAGGAAGGAAGGAGUCCCUCUGUUUGCAUUCUGGGCAGCUGUUUUCAGAAAUAUGAUGGCAGCAGAAAUAAUGCAAAUAACCUCUGUCGUUUUAAGGAAGGCUCGAAUGAACUCAUCUGGAUUCUCUAAAUUAAUUUACAGUUAUGCUUCCUGCCGCAGUAGGGAGCUUUGAAAGGUCUGUUGUUUACUGGUUGGCUGGUUGGCAAUUGAAAUUCAGCUCUUCCCCAGGACUCUGUCACUGAUGUGAUCAAGUUGAAAAGUCAUCUACUGCUUGCGUUAAUUGGUGACCCUCUCCAUUGUUGAGAGUGAUGGAUUUACUAAUUCUUAUUUCAGGUCCUGUCAUUAUUUCUGCUUUAAUAGCUGGCUGAAGAGUAAAGCUGCAGGAAUAUUGUCAUUUUAAAGAUGAUUGUAACAGCUUGAUGUGAAUUUUAAAUAUAUUUCACUUUUUUGAACAAAGGU
rnacentral:lncRNA from 1 species